rnacentral:rRNA from 1 species
GAGUUUGAUCUUGGCUCAGAUUGAACGCUGGCGGCAUGCCUUACACAUGCAAGUCGAACGGCAGCAUGAUCUAGCUUGCUAGAUUGAUGGCGAGUGGCGAACGGGUGAGUAAUACAUCGGAACGUGCCCUGUAGUGGGGGAUAACUAGUCGAAAGAUUAGCUAAUACCGCAUACGACCUGAGGGUGAAAGUGGGGGACCGCAAGGCCUCAUGCUAUAGGAGCGGCCGAUGUCUGAUUAGCUAGUUGGUGGGGUAAAGGCCCACCAAGGCGACGAUCAGUAGCUGGUCUGAGAGGACGAUCAGCCACACUGGGACUGAGACACGGCCCAGACUCCUACGGGAGGCAGCAGUGGGGAAUUUUGGACAAUGGGCGAAAGCCUGAUCCAGCAAUGCCGCGUGUGAAGAAGGCCUCGGUUGUAAG